rnacentral:misc_RNA from 1 species
AAUGUCAAAAAAAUUUCCGUGUGACUGAUAGUAGUGUGCGGAGAUAGGUCGGGGAGUAGACGAUAAAAAUUUAUUGGAAUACGUUUCGUCUCUCCGUUUUUUUUUACCAAAUUAAAUUCAAAACAACAAAGAGGUGAUGUGAACAUGGCAAGUCGGGUCGUCGCAUUCGAGAAAUUAUUCCAUAGCUAGACCGAAGGCAACAAAUCAAAAAUCCAAAGUUUCUGAAAACCAUCACAACAACAUCGCAGCGUAAUCACAGCCGGACAAAUGAUGAGAUUGAAACCGCCUUCAUACCAGCUGUCGGCAUGUCUGCAUCGGAUGCGGGAUGCUUUUGUAAAGAACCUGAAAGAACGUUCCAAUAUAACCUUGCGACUCUGGGCCGAUCAUUGCGAAUAUAUUCUGGCGCAACGGUUCCGUCGCGGUCAACAGAUUUUUACUUUCUACCACCGAAUUUGGGGAGAACACGCGCUGAUACAAUUGCUGUACGGAUUUCGCAGGCAGAUUCAACGAAAUCUAAAGGGUAUUUUGCUCUCUUCUGUGGGUCUUUACGCUUUCGAUUGGGAAAAGGAGCGUAUCAGCUAUGAUACAGUUAAACCACAUUUCGAUGAUGUCGACUUCGUUAAAAAAUUACAAAAAGAAACAUUGAUUUGUUCGAAUUGUGAAAAACGCAUUGCAAUCGGCGAAAAAGUUGAAGGUACACCAUAUUGUGUCUGCAAGGGAAUAUCCCAGGAUUCGGUUAAGAGGAGCUCAUCUGGCUGGGAACCAUACCUUGAGGGUAAAAAUAUGUUAAUAUGGCGAAGAGAAGAGAAACCUUCACGAUAUUCCUAUAAAGUUUAUUGCGUUUAUGAUGACAUAACUGCUAGUGAUUUUAUACAAGUUCAAACCGAUCUUGAAUACCGGAAAAUAUGGGAUGAUACUGCCAUUGUACUGAAUGUAGUGGAUACUGAUCCUAUAGAUACGAGCCGAAGCCAAAUAGUUUAUUGGGAAAUGCGAUGGCCGGCAUUGUUUGCUAACCGUGAUUACGUGUACAGUCGUCGAUAUUUCAUCAAUAACGUCAAAAAUGUGGUCGUCCUCUGCAGUAGGAGUACAAAACAUCCAAAAUGUCCGGUGAAAUCGGAUAAACAUCGAGUUGUUGAUUAUUGGAGUUUUAUGACAGUGAAGCCAUUCACAACAAUCAACGAACCAGGACUGGAAUUCGUUUUGACAUAUUACGAUGAUCCGGGAGUGUCACUUCCUGCAUAUAUAACGAAUUGGGUUGCUCAAAAGCAAAUGCCAGAUUUUUUAAAUAAAUUAUACAAUGCCACGAAAGAAUUUUACUAUCGUAAAAAAUAUAAUAAGAAAAUGACCUAUUCAUGGGAACAGUUGAAAACAUCCGAAGAUGCAAAAUAUCGAAGACCCACCGAAGUCAACACAGCUGAUAGUGAAGGAUUGAACAUAAUCGACUGUACGAGCCUUGUAAGAAAGUUAAGAAGGAAAUGUUUAUUGAAGUCAUCAUCACUGGGUCGCUAUAUCGUUUAAAAGUGCGAAGGGAGAGAUAUCAGAGAAAGAAAUGUGGCAUGAAAUAUUUGAAUGGGUUUAUUGCUUAUUAAGUUAUAUUAUUAUUCUGAGGAGCUUACGGACUAUUAGCAGAAAGGGGAACUAAUUCUCUCAAGAUCCAAUGCUGGCAUUGUUGUUUCAAGAUCGUAAUGAAAUUUUCUUUCAACUGAAGGCAACAGGCUGAAAGCAUGCGAUUUUAAAGCAAAAUCCUCAUAGAUCCACCUCAAAGUAAAAUCAAAUCUAUCCUGGAAAAAUGAAAUUAUGCGUAUUAAUAAAAAUUGAAUGUAUCGGUAGAAAAAUAAA